UGAGACCUGUCUGUCAUUUCAAUGUAAACUGUGUGUGGACAUAUACAGAUGUGUAUGUUUGCAUGUAUGUAAUACUCUGUUCUUUAGAGAACUACCAUGCACAGCUUGUGCCAACUGAAGUGAAAACAUGGCACUGCGGUGCCUGGACGCCAUCCCCUGCCUCUACUGCCGCGGUCUGGCCAUGUGAGAACUUCAAAAGACUGUAUUCUUGUCUGCCAAAGGGUUACACAGUCCUGUCAGGCCUAGUCUCUCCUGUGAGGCAGCUGCUGAAAUUCCUCAUGGGAAGAGGUUCUGUCCUUUCAUAACUUGGGUCCUGGGGCCCGAACCCAACUCAGCCUCCGUGGCAGGUGCCUUUACCCGCUGAGUCUUCUUGCCAGCCCCCCAGGGCCUGUCAGCCUUGCUCCUGGCAAGGAUCGUAAGCUCAUGGUCUACCUGCUCUUGCAGAAUGAGUUCAAGUCCAGUGAGGACGACCUGAGACCCCGCCUCUCAAAACCGAACUGAAGCAACCAGCAGGCCAUUAAAAGAGCCCACUGGUGAAGCACGUCUCUGGUGCUCAUGGAGCCCAGAGUCCAGUCUCCAGCCGGUCUCCCUCUCCCUCCCCAUCUCUCCUUCACCUCUGCCCUCAUGUUGCCUCCGACCAUCUCCUCACCUCCCGCUCUCUCCUCACCUCUGCCCGUGUGUCCCGUGGUUCUGAUUGUUUUCAAGCCUUUUUCUGUUCAUGUCUUAAUUUGGCAUGCACAGGUAAAAAAUUGCUAUAGAGAGUAGCUACUCUGGGAAAAGGAAAAUUUGAUGAUGGUGAUGACGACAAUGACAAUGAUGGUGGUUUGCAGUGCUGGGGAUAGAAGCCAGGGCCUUUGGCAUAACCCCCUCCACCCGCCUGCCUUGUCCUUUCUUGUCACUGUUACACAGCACUGCAGUCCCAAACUCACACACCCUUCACAGAAGAGGCAACUUCCGGACUGUCCAGUCAGUUAUUUUCCAUGCCUGCAGUGUUUUUCCUGGCUGCCCUGCCUCGUGUACUCUGUAGGUUGGAUUUCUAAGGUUCGUAUUGGAAGUUACUCUUUUGGGUUUUUCCCUUGGCAGUUUCAAAGGCAGGAAGGAAUUUCUCACCUUCACAGUUCUCCUCUGCUGCAGGUAAAUAAUGUAACGGCUGUGGGGUUGAUAAUUAGAGUCAGUCAGGAGCUGUCUGAUCCAUCUUAGGGUAAAUUGAUCCAUCGCUCAUAUUUUAAGGUGGCUAUUUUUUAAUUUAAUUAAAAAUCAUGUGUGUGUUUGUCUCACAGGUGGGCAGGGACUCAAAGGCACCAGAAGAGGGCAUGGGGCGUGCUGGUGCUGAGCUCCAGAUGAUUGUGAGCUGCCCCUAACUCUAACCCUAACCUACCGUGGGUGCUGGGGACUGAGUCAUCUAGAGAAGAACCCAGCACCAGCUAAGCUCUCUUCAGAGCCAUUCGGAGGGUGCUCUGUUUCCCUCCGAGGUAGUGGGUGAAGCUGGAGAUGUUGGCUUCCCAGAGGAGGGCACUGAAGAGGGCAGCAGCAAAGGCAGAAACUGGGCUUCUGCAGCCCAGCCGGAGGGCCUUCUUUGGUGUCUCCCUUCUUGUUGCUCUCAGGUUCAACGCCAUCUCUUAAGUUUCUGAGAAAUCCCAUUUUUCCGUCUUCACAGCCACCACCCUAACACAAGCCUCAUCACUGCUUAGUCUGAAACUAAGUGGCCUGUGUCUCAGGCGUUUCACGCUGCUGUGAAGGGACCCUACGCCGGCUGCCUGGUAAACAGCAGAAACCCAUGGCUCCCCGUUCCGGGGGCUGAGAGCUCUGCCAGCGGUGCUCAAGCAAAGCCAGUCUUCCCAGCUUUGGUCCUGGCACCUCUCUCUGUUGCGAACUUCUCCCCUGUUAGCCAACUCCAGUCCCCGGGGAUGUGCAGAGUGUGCGGAGACCAACCCGUAACAAAGCGAGCGGUGCAAGAAGCAGCGAGUGGCUGCAGCUAGGCGCCUGUUAGGCCUCCCAGGCUUCCUGUGUGUGAAAGGAAAUCCACCUUCGGACUCCUGACAUUUUCAAGUGAAGAGUGCCAAGCGCUUCCUGUGUCAAGGGAGGGCGCCGCUUCUCAGCUCUUGGGUGUUCUAUAUUAUCACGCUAAGAACCGGGCUCUUGACUUCCGGAAGUGGAGGAGAUGGCCUGGGGAAAACUAAAGUCACGUUCUGGAAAGAAAGCGCUAGGUUUGUGUUAACUAGUGCCCUCGAAGUGUGUCCACCAGGGCGCUCCGAUAGCUCGAGGAAACCUGAUGAGAAGUGUGUGUGUCCUGAUGUGAAAUGAAAACAAGAAAACGUAUGAUAACGGUGAUAAGACUGUGUCUUCGGUGCCAAAGCCUGAGGCUUGUGGCUGGAUUCACCCAGGAAGAAACCCCUUAGGGAUACUUUUGGAAGACAUCUGAGAACUAAAGAUCGACUUAUUCACAGAUCUGUGAGCUGGCGAGAGAGUGUAUGUGUUGUUAUUCACAGGAUGCAGAAAGUGUCUGGCGCGGGGCAUGGACUUACUACAAGAGGAGAGACCCACAGAAGAGAAGAGAGCCAGGCUCUCUCUCUCCGUGAGCGCGGCGGCUGCUGCGCCCCCCUUUGCCUCUGCUGCGCCCCCUUCGCCUCUGCAGCCGGGACUGUGCUCAGUGUCUGCAGACUCCCAGCUGGCAGCUCCUCACAGGCGCAUUCUGACACCCACACCAUGGUUGCUCCAGACAGGAAAGUCAGAAGUAUUCUCUCUCUUUAAGGACCAGGCUGCGUGGUUUGGGUGUGGAGUGUCCCACAGGCUCACGUGUUUGAGCGUUCGGUCCCCAGCUGGCAGCGUUGUUUGGGAAGGCCGUGGGAUCUUUAGAGAGCGUGGGCCACGGGGGCCACUGGGAACGCCACAGUUUCCUGCUUACCCUGGUUCCUGAAUGUGGGCACACCGUGACCAUCAGCCUCCUGUUCCCACCACCUGCCUUCUCAGCCUUCUCUGCCCCUCUUGAACUUUGAGCCAAAAUAAGCCCUUUGGCCUAUAAGCUGCUCUGUCAGGGUGUUUUACCACAGCAAUGAACAAAUAACUAAGACCAAAUUGUCCUUAAUUACAGAUUAUUUUUCUUAAAGAUGUUUUUUUUUCCUUUCUUUCUUGAAACAAGGUCUCAUGUAUCCCUAGUUGGUCUUGAACUCACUACACAGCUGAAGACGACCUAAGACUCUGGGUCUUCCAGCCUCCUCUUCCUGCGUGCUGGGAUCACAAGUGUGCUGGGCAAUUUUCCCCUUAGCCUAAAUUCUUUCAGCUCCUCUCAAAUUCAUUGUCCACUCUCUUCCUGUUCCUGUGGAGGAAACCACCAGGAAGGGGUGCUUUUCCCCACUCACAGAGACUCUGGUGACAUAAUUACGGAAUCGUUGGCCACCAAAGAAAGGUGAGGUUUUGUGAAAUACUGGUUUCAGAUAGAAUUUUCUUACUAAAAUUUCCUCUCUCCCUCCUUUCACCCCUCACCCUCUCUCCCUUUCCUUCUCUCUUUCCCUUUUCUUCCCUCCUCUCAGGCAUGGCCUCUCUAUGAGGCCUCGGCUACCCCAGACUUCCCAUUUUCUUACUGCGGCUCUCUAAGCAGUUAGGGUUCCAGGAACCCAAGCCAAACAAUCUUGUUUCCUUUUCACUGGGCAGGCGACCUGGACAGCUCUCUCCCUCUGUCCCUCAGCGCCCAUAUUUGUAAAACAGACUGCAGCUCUCCAUUUGAGAGGUACGGUGAGGGCCGAGCAAACUGGGGGUGUUCACAGCACUGCCCGAGGGCACUGCGAGCCGUGGGAGCUGUGCCCCCAUCUCUUGUUACUUCUGAGGUAGGCUGCAUCCGAGCAACAAGACAAAAUGAUGUAGCUCCGAAAUUUCCAAUACUUAAAAGUAAGUUGAAUGUGUUUUUACCAAGAAAAAAACAAAAAACAAAAAAUAAAACACCUGUAAACAUGUAAUAUGCUUCCCAAUUAAAACAUUGAGAGGAUAAACAAAACAUUUCCAGCUGUAAAGACUGAUUUAGGGCAGAGUGGAGAGGAAAAGGUGUAGAUGAGAAUUCUCUGAAUAUUAGUGUCUCACUCAUUUGAUUUGGAACUACGAAACCGUUUCACAUAGACGCAUAAUAAAAUUAAGUUAAUAAAACCAGUCCUUAGACAGGAAAGAGGAGAUGUAUGCUGGAGGCUGUAUACUCAGAAUGAAGAACACUUUCCCAGAGUUCGCUCAUGCCUCAGUUAGGGUUCUACUGCUUUGCAGAGACACCAUGACCAAAGUGGUUUGUAAAAGGGAAAACAUUUAAUUGGCUUACAGUUCCGAGGCUUAGUCCCUCGCCUUCACUGCAGGAAACGCGGCAGCGGAGGGCGGACACCGUGCUGAGGAGGAGCUGAGAGCUCUAUUCAUCCCAGGCAGUGGGCGGGCGUAGACUGUGUCUCUCUGGGGGUAUUUUGAGUGUAGGAGGCCUCAAAGCCCACCCCACAGUGACACACUUCCUCCAACAAGGCCACGCCUCCUAAGAAUGCCACUGCCUAUGCCCCAAGCAUUUAAACACGAGUCUGUUCUGUUCCAACACUCACACCUAAUUAAAUCUGUUUUUGUUUUGUUUUGUUUCUUGAGACAGGGUUUCUCUCUGUGUAGCCCUGGCUGUCCUGGAACUCACGCUGUAGACCAGGCUGGCUCAAACUCAGGCAUCUGCUUGCCCCUGCCCCCCAAGUGCUGGGAUAAAAGGCCUGUGCCUCCACCCGCUGGCCUCAAGUCUACCGUUAGUUAAAUAAGAAAUAUAGACUUUAGUUUCAUUUCAGAACAGCUUUAGAGUUAGGCCCUGUGAAGACCCUCAGGUCACGUGGAAAAGCAAAAUCUCACUGGACGCAGCGGGGUCAGCCACACGCUCCUGCAUGAACGCCUGGAACCCGAGAGGUUUGUCGUGUGAUUCCCAUCACGGUGCAUUGAGCGGAGAACUGAGAGAAUGAGCUUCAGACCCACUGUGGAUCACCAGGCGUGUGUGCGGGGGAAGGGUUCUGUCCCCAGCGAUACGGACCAUUACUCCCUGCCAGGCUGGGCCUACGCCUCAUCUGCACUCUCAGAGCAGAUCAUGUGUGACCCAGUGCUUCCUGUCUCCAGUGUCUGGAUUGUAGACUAUGUCCAUGUCUCCAGUGUCUGGACUGUAGGCUAUCUCCCAUGUCUCCAGUGUCUGGACUUUGGACUAUGCCCAUGUCUCCAGUGUCUGGACUGUGGACUCUACCCCAUGUCUCCAGUGUCUGGACUGUGGACUCUACCCCAUGUCUCCAGUGUCUGGACUGUAGGCUCUACCCCAUGUCUCCAGUGUCUGGACUGUGGACUCUACCCCAUGUCUCCAGUGUCUGGACUGUGGACUCUACCCCAUGUCUCCAGUGUCUGGACUAUGGACUCUACCCCAUGUCUCCAGUGUCUGGACUGUGGACUCUACCCCAUGUCUCCAGUGUCUGGACUGUAGGCCAUGUCCAUGACUCCAGUGUCUGCUGCCAUGUCCUUCCUGCCAUGAUAGACUAUAUCCCCCCAACCCUUUCUCCUUUAGCUGUUCUUGUUUUCUCUUUACAUUUUUGUUUGUCAGAGCACUUCAUCAAGGUAAUAGGAAAAUCCCUACCUUACUCAUUUUGGUCAGUUUAGAUCAUUUGGUCAUUGUGAUGGUUGACUAGCAGCAUCCCGCAACUUCCUUCUCCUGCUCACAACAUCUUCUAUGCUCUUCAUCUUAGAGCAUUAGAUAAGUCUUCUCUGUAGCUUAGGGUCCUGUAAAAUGGAGGGCUGGGUGCUUAGAGAGAUGGAGGAGUACUGGCUGCUCUUGCAGAGGACCCAGGUUUGAUUUUUAGGGUCCACGUGGGGCUCACAGCCAUCUGUAACUCUAGUCCAGGAGAUCCUGCGUCCCCUCUGGCCUCUGUGAGCACCGCAUGCACGCCGUGCACAGACACCCAAGCACACUAAACACACAUGUGCUUAAAGUAAAAGAAAAUGUCUUCAACAAGAGACACUUGAGGGGAAGGCAGCUAGGCAUAUAGCAGGGCCCUCAGUCAUUCAUGCAUGUGCUUUCCUCCUCCUUUGCCCACAGUACACCUACAGGAAAACUGCACUGCACGCUAGAGUCAUGGUGACAUGGGUGGGUACCAAAACCUUUAGUUCAGCGGCAAAAUGUAUGUGUUGUGUAAUAUGUUAUUAAAUAUGUGAUUAAGAUAUUUUCUGUGGACAUAUCCUAAGAAGGAAAGGUGUUUUCAGAAACGUAGAAGUGGCUCACUCUCUCGGUUCCCUUGGGCAGACACCGGCUGCCCAACUACAGGCCAUGCCUGC